rnacentral:rRNA from 1 species
CGAUGGGCGAAAGCCUGACGGAGCAAUACCGCGUGUGGGACGAAGGCUUUUGGGUCGUAAACCGCUUUUGUUAGGGAAGAAGAACUGACGGUACCUAACGAAUCAGCAUCGGCUAACUCCGUGCCAGCAGCCGCGGUAAUACGGGGGAUGCAAGCGUUAUCCGGAAUUAUUGGGCGUAAAGCGUCCGCAGGUGGUUUAUCAAGUCUGCUGUCAAAGCGUGGGGCUUAACCCCAUAAAGGCAGUGGAAACUGAGAGACUAGAGUACGGUAGGGGUAGCGGGAAUUCCCAGUGUAGCGGUGAAAUGCGUAGAUAUUGGGAAGAACACCAGCGGCGAAGGCGCGCUACUGGGCCGAAACUGACACUCAUGGACGAAAGCUAGGGGAGCGAAAGGGAUUAGAUACCCCUGUAGUCCUAGCUGUAAACGAUGACAACUAGGUGUUGCGCGUAUCGACCCGUGCAGUGCCGUAGCUAACGCGUUAAGUUGUCCGCCUGGGGAGUACGCACGCAAGUGUGAAACUCAAAGGAAUUGACGGGGGCCCGCACAAGCGGUGGAGUAUGUGGUUUAAUUCGAUGCAACGCGAAGAACCUUACCAGGGCUUGACAUGUCGCGAAUCCUUGCGAAA